rnacentral:rRNA from 1 species
UUUAUGGAGAGUUUGAUCCUGGCUCAGGAUGAACGCUGGCGGCGUGCCUAAUACAUGCAAGUCGAGCGAACGGACAAGAAGCUUGCUUCUCUGAUGUUAGCGGCGGACGGGUGAGUAACACGUGGAUAACCUACCUAUAAGACUGGGAUAACUUCGGGAAACCGGAGCUAAUACCGGAUAAUAUUUUGAACCGCAUGGUUCAAAAGUGAAAG